rnacentral:tRNA from 1 species
AUUUAUAUAGUUUAAAAUAAAACAAUUCAUUUUCAAUGAAUAAUUGAGAUAAAUUCUCUAUAAAUU